rnacentral:lncRNA from 1 species
AGGCCUGACCUGUAGUUUCCUGACCGUGCUCGCCUCGAUCUCGGGGUAAGCUGAAUUCGGCGUCCAUGAUUUGUUCCGAUCACCCGUUUGUUAUCUGAUUCCCAGGUUUGUCCUUCUGAUCGGCGAGUUGGGGCUUGCGGCGAUCUUGGAGAAAAGACGGGAGGCAAGCUGGAUCUGCCCACGGAAGCUUCCGAUCUGCCCGGCUGGCGUCUCAGAUCUGUUGCUGGUGAGGAACUUUUCCCGUCCAGAUCGUCUCUACAGCAUGCUUUGAGCUAAAAAUUUGCUGUUGUGCGUGCCGAUCCUUGUAUUCUGACCUUCUGUGCCGAUUUGACCUGUAGUUCUGAUGCUUCACGGCGGAUCUGGUUUUUCCCGGCGGUCUCAAGUCGGCGCAGCGGCUGGCGGCGAGUUUUCCGGCAAGCACGUGGGAUCCCGUCUGCUCCUCUACCUCGUGCGACGACGGCCGACGGCUCUUUGUGUUGAUAAUUAUUCGAUGAUAUGUCGGUAAUUAUUAGAUCCAAGAGAUCGGAGGUGAUGAAAGGUAAGAAGAUGUAACAAGCGAGGUGCUUGUGGAGAGGGCGGAGAAGAGCGGAAAAAAAAGAGAUGUGAACAUCUAGAGGCCUUUGCCAUGUUGGGUGCGCUCGCAUGGCAGGCCGCCACCAUAAUAAAGAUGUUUUUUUUGUCUCGGGGGGAGAUCGCACGGGGGUUAUCUUGUUUUAGCCCCGGGUUCUCCCCCCUGUGUGCUGGUGUGCUCCUUUUGUCUGCACCUCUCGUCCGAUCCGACUACAUGGCACAACAAUUCUACCGUCGCGAAUCGAUCAUGGAGCUACAGACGAAAGAACAAAGGUACAAUCGAUAAUUUACAUACAGCUGAACCAUAUAUAAUCAUUGACACCACAAAUUUCAAUACAUACAAGGAUUAUCUUGAAUCCAUACAAGUAACUUUGGUAGAUAUAGAUAUAGAGAUUGUGUUGACACAUCACCACAAAUCUGCAACCAACUACAGCAGUCCAGCCUAAACAAAUUGUUUGCAUGCGGAUUUACAUAUUGUUGUAACAAUUCGAGUAUAUUUGGAUUCUUCACUCAGAAGUUGUGUUUAUUUGUAUGAUAUUCUGUACUAAAUUUAAGUUUAAUUCUCCCUAUAUAAGGAUUUUUUAAUAAGAAAUUCAUAUUAGACCCCUUUUCUCUGGUCUCCUGCUUCAUAUUGUAAUCUGUCUUACGUAAGAUACAAUUUAUGUAGCUUGAACAGCUGUAUGUGGGUCUUUGUAUUACCCAAAUGAAGCCUACAGCUAUACGCAGGUGGACACAUCUUUCUCGUUGGAGCUUGAAGAGACGUGAGAGCUCUAUGAUUCUGGAGAAAUCUGCCGAACACAUCUUACCUCAGGGAAUACCCGCUGGGAGGCUGGUUUACAUGUACUUGCUUACUAAUCUGGAUAAUCAUUUAUUAGAGCGCUAUUUUAAUCAGUUUCGCUACAUAUUAUGGUGAACAUUACAUCCAUUUGUAUCAGUUGGUUAAAGAUAAUUAGAUAUUUAUUAUAUUUGUGGAUAUUCUCCUUGUUGUAUGAUCGGGACAAUAUACUGUUUUAGAUGAUUCUCGUUUUAGAUUCGAUCCUAGGUUAAAUUUGAGGAUGCGGCUGAUGAAAUUAUUCCAUACUGUUCUAUUUAUGAUUACGGUUAUAGAUUCAGGUAACAAUUUAUGAGGCGUUUGCUUUUUUCUUUGGGUGUUAGAUCUGGGUGGGGUUGAACUUCGUAAUUCAAAUUUAGCUUAUUUAAUAAUAUGAUAAUAUGAUACGUAUUUACUUGGUCUAAUUUCUGAUAAAAUUAUGCACUCUAAUUUCUGAUAAUAAUAUGAUAUUACUCUUUGUAAAAGAAUUAUGCAUUCCUUCGUUGCUAGCAUACAAAGCAAAAUGAGUGAAUUUACACCCUAAAAUAUGUGUGUGUACAUCGGCAUGAAGUAAAAUGACUUGCAUUGAGAAAUGGAGGGAGUAAUUUGUUUACUUUUUUGGAUUUAGACAGACCAAAUCUCUAAAAUUGAUUCAAAUUGAGGGAAGGAGGGAGUAGUUUGCUUAUUUUUUGGUUUAUGCAGACCAAGUCUGGAAUUACUCGCAUAAAAUGGAUGUAUUUAGGAACCAAGGCAGUUGUUUGGUUAUUUUUUUUUAAUGUACACAGACAAGUUUUGGUGUGUUUGUGUGUGACUUGAUGUGUAUUAUUUGCGAACGGACAGAAUAUUAUGGAGUAAAUAUGCUAUUUGUGCUGAUAGCUGUUGUGGAUCUUAUCUCUGUCUGGAGAGAUUCUCUGUGGAUACUGAUCGUAUGUUCAGAUCCCGGAUGAAAG